GUGGGGAAUUUUGGACAAUGGGCGAAAUCCUGAUCCAGCCAUGCCGCGUGCAGGAUGAAGGCCUUCGGGUUGUAAACUGCUUUUGUACGGAACGAAAAGACUCCUUCUAAUAAAGGGGGUCCAUGACGGUACCGUAAGAAUAAGCACCGGCUAACUACGUGCCAGCAGCCGCGGUAAUACGUAGGGUGCAAGCGUUAAUCGGAAUUACUGGGCGUAAAGCGUGCGCAGGCGGUUAUAUAAGACAGAUGUGAAAUCCCCGGGCUCAACCUGGGAACUGCAUUUGUGACUGUAUAGCUAGAGUACGGUAGAGGUGGAUGGAAUUCCGCGUGUAGCAGUGAAAUGCGUAGAUAUGCGGAGGAACACCGAUGGCGAAGGCAAUCCCCUGGACCUGUACUGACGCUCAUGCACGAAAGCGUGGGGAGCAAACAGGAUUAGAAACCCGGGUAGUCC
rnacentral:rRNA from 1 species